AGAGUUUGAUCCUGGCUCAGGACGAACGCUGGCGGCGUGCUUAACACAUGCAAGUCGAACGAUGACGGUGGUGCUUGCACCGCCUGAUUAGUGGCGAACGGGUGAGUAACACGUGAGUAACCUGCCCUCCACUUCGGGAUAACCUCGGGAAAUCGUGGCUAAUACCGGAUAUGAGCACUCAUCGCAUGGUGGGUGUUGGAAAGAUUUAUCGGUGGGGGAUGGACUCGCGGCCUAUCAGUUUGUUGGUGAGGUGAUGGCUCACCAAGACGAUGACGGGUAGCCGGCCUGAGAGGGCGACCGGCCACACUGGGACUGAGACACGGCCCAGACUCCUACGGGAGGCAGCAGUGGGGAAUAUUGCACAAUGGGCGAAAGCCUGAUGCAGCGACGCCGCGUGGGGGAUGACGGCCUUCGGGUUGUAAACCCCUUUCAGUAGGGAAGAAGCGAGAGUGACGGUACCUGCAGAAGAAGCGCCGGCUAACUACGUGCCAGCAGCCGCGGUAAUACGUAGGGCGCAAGCGUUGUCCGGAAUUAUUGGGCGUAAAGAGCUUGUAGGUGGCUUGUCGCGUCUGCCGUGAAAACCCGAGGCUCAACCUCGGGCGUGCGGUGGGUACGGGCAGGCUAGAGUGUGGUAGGGGAGACUGGAACUCCUGGUGUAGCGGUGAAAUGCGCAGAUAUCAGGAAGAACACCGAUGGCGAAGGCAGGUCUCUGGGCCAUUACUGACACUGAGAA
rnacentral:rRNA from 1 species